CGGGGCUUAAAGUCUUGUAAUUGGAAUGAUGGGAAUUUAAACCUCUUCCAGAGUAUCAAUUGGAGGGCAAGUCUGGUGCCAGCAGCCGCGGUAAUUCCAGCUCCAAUAGCGUAUAUUAAAAUUGUUGCAGUUAAAAAGCUCGUAGUUGAAUUUCUGCUGCAUUGCUUGUGUCCCUCUUGGGUCUAUGCAUGUGGCUUUUUUCGGACGGAGUUUCUUUGUCUGAAUGUUUACUUUGAGAAAAUUAGAGUGCUCAAAGCAGGCUUUCGCCUUGAAUAGUUUAGCAUGGAAUAAUAAAGUAGGACUUUGGUUCUAUUUUGUUGGUUUUAGGUACCAAAGUAAUGGUUAAUAGGAACAGUUGGGGGCAUUCGUAUUUAACUGUCAGAGGUGAAAUUCUUAGAUUUGUUAAAGACGAACUACUGCGAAAGCAUUUGCCAAGGAUGUUUUCAUUAAUCAAGAAC
rnacentral:rRNA from 1 species